AGCGUUGUUCGGAAUUACUGGGCGUAAAGGGCUCGUAGGCGGCCAACUAAGUCGGAUGUGAAAUCCCCAGGCUUAACCUGGGAACUGCAUCCGAUACUGGAUGGCUUGAAUCCGGGAGAGGGAUGCAGAAUUCCAGGUGUAGCGGUGAAAUGCGUAGAUAUCUGGAGGAAUACCGGUGGCGAAGGCGGCAUCCUGGACCGGCAUUGACGCUGAUGAGCGAAAGCUAGGGGAGCAAACGGG
rnacentral:rRNA from 1 species